AGAUCUUUCGGGAUCUUGAGAGCGGCGUACGGGUGCGGAACACGUGUGCAACCUGCCUUUAUCUGGGGGAUAGCCUUUCGAAAGGAAGAUUAAUACCCCAUAAUAUAAGAAACGGCAUCGUUUUUUAUUGAAAACUCCGGUGGAUAGAGAUGGGCACGCGCAAGAUUAGAUAGUUGGUGAGGUAACGGCUCACCAAGUCUACGAUCUUUAGGGGGCCUGAGAGGGUGAUCCCCCACACUGGUACUGAGACACGGACCAGACUCCUACGGGAGGCAGCAGUGAGGAAUAUUGGACAAUGGGUGAGAGCCUGAUCCAGCCAUCCCGCGUGAAGGACGACGGCCCUAUGGGUUGUAAACUUCUUUUGUAUAGGGAUAAACCUACCCUCGUGAGGGUAGCUGAAGGUACUAUACGAAUAAGCACCGGCUAACUCCGUGCCAGCAGCCGCGGUAAUACGGAGGGUGCAAGCGUUAUCCGGAUUUAUUGGGUUUAAAGGGUCCGUAGGCGGAUCUGUAAGUCAGUGGUGAAAUCUCACAGCUUAACUGUGAAACUGCCAUUGAUACUGCAGGUCUUGAGUGUUAUUGAAGUAGCUGGAAUAAGUAGUGUAGCGGUGAAAUGCAUAGAUAUUACUUAGAACACCAAUUGCGAAGGCAGGUUACUAAGCAACAACUGACGCUGAUGGACGAAAGCGUGGGGAGCGAACAGGAUUAGAUACCCUGGUAGUCCACGCCGUAAACGAUGCUAACUCGUUUUUGGGCUUUCGGNUUCAGAGACUAAGCGAAAGUGAUAAGUUAGCCACCUGGGGAGUACGUUCGCAAGAAUGAAACUCAAAGGAAUUGACGGGGGCCCGCACAAGCGGUGGAUUAUGUGGUUUAAUUCGAUGAUACGCGAGGAACCUUACCAAGGCUUAAAUGGGAAAUGACAGGUUUAGAAAUAGACUUUUCUUCGGACAUUUUUCAAGGUGCUGCAUGGUUGUCGUCAGCUCGUGCCGUGAGGUGUUAGGUUAAGUCCUGCAACGAGCGCAACCCCUGUCACUAGUUGCCAUCAUUAAGUUGGGGACUCUAGUGAGACUGCCUACGCAAGUAGAGAGGAAGGUGGGGAUGACGUCAAAUCAUCACGGCCCUUACGCCUUGGGCCACACACGUAAUACAAUGGCCGGUACAGAGGGCAGCUACACAGCGAUGUGAUGCAAAUCUCGAAAGCCGGUCUCAGUUCGGAUUGGAGUCUGCAACUCGACUCUAUGAAGCUGGAAUCGCUAGUAAUCGCGCAUCAGCCAUGGCGCGGUGAAUACGUUCCCGGGCCUUGUACACACCGCCCGUCAAGCCAUGGAAGUCUGGGGUACCUGAAGUCGGUGACCGUAACA
rnacentral:rRNA from 1 species